GUCUACGGCCAUACCACUGAGAAAGCACCGGUUCUCGUCCGAUCACCGAAGUUAAGCUCAGUAGGGCGCGGUUAGUACUUGGAUGGGUGACCGCUUG
rnacentral:rRNA from 1 species